UGCAGUCGAGCGGUAGCACAAGAGAGCUUGCUCUCUGGGUGACGAGCGGCGGACGGGUGAGUAAUGUCUGGGAAACUGCCUGAUGGAGGGGGAUAACUACUGGAAACGGUAGCUAAUACCGCAUAACGUCUUCGGACCAAAGUGGGGGACCUUCGGGCCUCACGCCAUCAGAUGUGCCCAGAUGGGAUUAGCUAGUAGGUGGGGUAAUGGCUCACCUAGGCGACGAUCCCUAGCUGGUCUGAGAGGAUGACCAGCCACACUGGAACUGAGACACGGUCCAGACUCCUACGGGAGGCAGCAGUGGGGAAUAUUGCACAAUGGGCGCAAGCCUGAUGCAGCCAUGCCGCGUGUGUGAAGAAGGCCUUCGGGUUGUAAAGCACUUUCAGCGAGGAGGAAGGGUGGUGUGUUAAUAGCACAUCACAUUGACGUUACUCGCAGAAGAAGCACCGGCUAACUCAGUGCCAGCAGCCGCGGUAAUACGGAGGGUGCAAGCGUUAAUCGGAAUUACUGGGCGUAAAGCGCACGCAGGCGGUUUGUUAAGUCAGAUGUGAAAUCCCCGCGCUUAACGUGGGAACUGCAUUUGAAACUGGCAAGCUAGAGUCUUGUAGAGGGGGGUAGAAUUCCAGGUGUAGCGGUGAAAUGCGUAGAGAUCUGGAGGAAUACCGGUGGCGAAGGCGGCCCCCUGGACAAAGACUGACGCUC
rnacentral:rRNA from 1 species